GCCGGGUGUGAUGGCUCACGCCUGUAAUCCCAGCACUUUGGGAGGCCAAGGUGGGAGGAUCACCUGAGGUCAGGAAUUCGAGAUCAGCCUGACCAACAUGGAGAAACCCCAUCUCUA
ensembl:misc_RNA Metazoa_SRP Metazoan signal recognition particle RNA